rnacentral:lncRNA from 1 species
AAUAAGAAAUCCGCCGUUUUAACAAACAGAGACCUCCCCUAUGGACAGAGCUCCUUCUUCAGAGAAGAAGAGCGUCUACCAUGGCUGUCGCUUAACCCAAAACCAGCCUUUUCUUCUCCACAACGCCAACCAACCCUGACCCCAUCGUCGGCGAACCAAACAACACCUUUUAUCUUCGCUUUAUUCAACCUAGAACGACCUCACACCAGCAGCACAAAACGCACACACAUUCUCACAAACGGACAGAAAGGAUGUCUCCUCCCUUACAAUUCCUCUCUUGAUUAGCUUCUAUCUCUCCGGCAAGUUGGCCGAAUUUGCGGAGCUACAUGAUGGCCACUGCUCCUCAAUUUUCCAUCGUCGUUCUGUCCACUCUUUGACCAUCGUUGUUGUCAAAACAUUGACUGAAUUCCAUUGCAGCAAUCUGUACAAAGAUAUACAUACAAAGGGGAGGAACCUCGUUUUGGACUUGCAAAAAAAGGCUAGAAGAAACUUUUCUUUGUUAUCUGAAACUUUAGUUAUUAGAUUUCAAAAAAUAAUUAAAAAAGGAAGUAAUAUAUUCCAAAAGAUGAAAAUUUUUGUUUUUUUCUCUCCAUUUUGGACUUAGGUUUUCGAAGAAUGAAUUUCAGUCUGAGUUGGGGUGUUGUUCGAACUUUGAUCUUGGUUGGUGGAUCCUGACUGCGAAUCUCAUUGCCGGGUUCGCUGUUACUGAAUUUUCAUACAUAGAAAGGAAAGCUUCCUGAAGGUUCAUUUCUUUCUCCUUAACUCUUCAUCCUGUGAGUGGUGUAAUUAAAUUAUGAUAAGAUCUUUGGGGUUUAAUUGGAUUUAAGGUCUUAGAAUUAGUUAAUUUGUGUAAAUUUGAUUAGCAUAUUUUCAUUACUGGUAUGAGUUUGUCGUUUGAUUCUGAAUUGGUUAGUAAUAGCAUUUUCAUCGACAUAUGGUGUUUCUUACAUGUUGAAUGAAUUGCUAAUUUCAUGGGGCUAUCACAUGCUUUGGAUUGACAUUCAUGGUCGAAUACUCUUUGUCGGCCUUUAGUGUUAAGUUGUUUUCUAAAAGACCUCAUAAAGCAGAGUGCUAUUUGUUUUAACUUUUUCUGUUCAAAUUGACGAUGAACAGAGUUUAGCCAUGUGAAGUUAGGCGAAGUUCGGAAAACUUUUGAUUGAAACGUUAACUAUUAAAUUUUCACCUACAUACUUUAGGAUCGCUCUUAACUAAUUAUAUCAUCGUGAUUAUGUACAUGUUCGCGUGACAUAAUUACGAUCUUGAAAACAAAAUCGGAGUAUGCGUUCGCGCAACUUCGGCUAAAACUUUCUUAAUAAUAAUAAAGCGUUGCUAAUUGUGGACACGUUCGCGUGACAUGAUUUUUGACGCGCCAAACAAAUGGGUACACGUACGCGUGAUCCAUUUCAAGAUUAUUUUUUAAUUAAAAGAGAUAAAAGCACAUAGGUUCCAAAAUAAGUAAUUAGACAAUUUUAAUAAGCUAAGUAAUAAUCGCUAAGCGACCGUGCUAGAACCACGGAACUAGGGAAUGCCUAACACCUUUUCCCGAAUUAAUAGAAUUCCUUACCUGAAUUUUUGUGUUCGCAGACCGUAAAUAGAGUCAACUUCCUCGAUUCGGGGUUUUAAACCGGUGACUUGGGACACCAUAAAUUAUCCCAAGUGGUGACUCUAAAUUUAAUAUAAAUAAUCCUGUUUUGAUUGUCACUUAAAUUGGAAAAACUCCCUUAUACUCCCUUCCGGGGUGUAGGUAAAAAAAAGGUGUGACAGCCAUUACGACCGGGUCCGGGUUUAGGGUUGUGAUAAGUUAGUAUCACAGCCUAGGUUAUAUAGGCCUCAAGAGUAAUGAGCAGGUUUAGUAGAGUCUCACGGAUCUGUACGGAAACGUCUGUAUUUAUCCUCGAGAAGCUGCAGAACCUUUAGGAAAAACUUCACAUUCUUGAAAUUCUUGUCGUGCGAAUUUGUUGAUCAGAGUACUAAACUUCGGUUAUUAUAUUCUCUCACAGAUGGUGAGGACACGUGCUACCGAUCAGGAUAGACGAUAACCAAUACCACUGGUUGUGGCCACCAGAGGCCAAGGACGCGGUCGUGGACGUGGCAGGGGCAGAGCAGCUAGGGCAGCACCUGCCGAUCCACCAGCUGCCCUAGUUUAGGAUCAGGUCCCAGUUAUGGACGCUUUUGCAGCACUAGCUCAGGCACCAGCUGUGCUCAUUAUGAUUCUGGGUCUUCAACAGGCCUUGGCUCAGAUCUUAUCAGUUUGCACUGGCCUAGCUCAAGCGGUUUCAGCCACUACAGCCGCAACUACUUCUCAGGCCGGGGGAGACAAUCAGACUCCCACCGCUCGCACACCUGAGCAGAUCAUGCAAGGACUUUAGACGCCGAGGGAAUAUCUAGCCUAGCCGGUUGCAGCUGCUCAGGAGUAUGUAGUUUCUGCUAUGCCGGAGGAUAAGCAGCAUUGGUUGGAGAGGUUUGGUAGACUGUAGCCUCCGACCUUUAGUGGUGCAAAAGGCGAGGAUGCCUAGGGGUUCUUGGAUAAGUGUUGGAGGAUGCUUCAGACAAUAGGUAUUCUGGAGACCAGCGAGGUCGCUUUCACUACUUAUCAAUUUUCAGGAGUUGCUUUCUCUUGGUGGGAGAAUUUUGAGAGGCGUAGGCCUGUUGGUGCAGCACCCCUUACCUGGCAGCAGUUCUCCGUUCUCUUUCAGUAGAAGUAUGUGCCGCAGUCUCGAAGAGAAGAGAUGCGUAGGCAGAUUGAAUGGUUGCGUUAGGGGGGAAAUGACCGUGUCAUAGUAUGAGUUAAGGUUCUCCGAGUUACCUCGCCAUGCCAUUUCGAUGGUCCCGACAGAUAGAGAGAGGAUUAAGAGGUUUGUUGAUGGCAUCACUUAUCAACUUCGUAUUCGCAUGACCAGGGAGAGGGUGAUUGGUGUUACUUUUGAGGAGGUUGUGUAUAUUGCCUGUGAGAUUGAGUCUGUUCGUCACCAAGAGCGCGAGGAGAGGGAGGCCAAGAGGCCUCGAGGAUCUGGUAGUUACAGUGGUACUUCUUUGAAGGGUUAGUUUCAGCACGGCAGAGGCCGUCCAUUCAGGCAUGCUUAGCCAGCAUGCCCAGGUUAUCGUGGGGCAUCAUCGGGUCAUGGUUCUCACAAUUCUCAUCAGGGACAGUCAUUACUUAGUGCCCUUCCAGCUAAGAGUUUGUCCCGUGCUCUAUCAUUGUAGGGCUCUUCUAUGUCGAAUGCAUUUUCUAGUCACUCCGGUGUGAGAGGUUCCCUUCAGCCCCCUUCUCCAGCCCCUGAGAGUUUGUAUGAGUGUGGUGAGAUGGGUCAUAUGUGUAGGAAGUGCCCUCAUCAUCUUGCGAGCUCAUCUCAGCAGAGGGGUCAGUCAUCAGUUUCAGCGCCAAUUACUUCACCACCACUUGUCUAGCCAGCUAGGGGUGGAGGUCAGUCGGCUAGGGGUCGCCCCAGAGGUGGAGGUCGAUCAGGUGGCGAUCAAGCCCGCUUCUAUGCACUUCCAGGCAGACCAUAUGCUAUCGCUUCAAAUGCUGUUAUUACAGGUAUUGUUUCAGUCUACCAUAGAGAUGCCUUUGUAUUAUUUGAUCUCGGUUCCACAUUUUCUUAUGUGUCAUCAUACUUUGCUCGUUAUAUAGGUAUGCCCCGUGAGUUUCUUGCUUUACCUGUUCAUGCAUCUACCCCGGUAGGUGAUACUAUUAUUGUAGACCAUGUGUACCGGUCGUGUGUGGUUACUAUUGGGGGCCUGGAGAUCCAUGUGGAUCAUAUAUUAUUGUGUAUGGUGGAUUUCGAUGUCAUUUUGGGCAUGGAUUGGCUAUCUCCACUUCGUGCUAUUCUGGACUGUCAUGCUAAGACAGUCACAUUAGCUAUCUCGGGUGUGCUACGAAUUGAGUAGCGAGGUGUGACUGAUUAUGUUCCUAGUAGAGUGAUCUCAUUCUUGAAAGCCUAGUGUAUGGUUGGAAAUGGUUGUCUUUCGUAUCUAGCUUUUGUGAGGGAUGUCGGAGCUGAGACUCGCAGUAUUGAUUCUAUCCCAAUUGUGAGGGAUUUUCCCGAUGUGUUUUCUGCAGACCUGCCGGGCAUGCCACCAGAUAGGGAUAUUAAUUUUGGUAUUUACCUGGUGUCGGGCACUUAGCACAUUUCAAUUCAGCCGUAUCAUAUAGCACCAGCGGAGUUGAAGGAAUUAAAAGAGAAGCUUCAGGAACUCCUUGAUAAAGGAUUCAUUCGGCCUAGUGUGUCACCUUGGGGUAUGCCAGUUCUAUUUGUGAAGAAGAAGGAUGCCACUAUGAGAAUGUGCAUUGAUUAUAGGCAAUUGAACAAAGUAACAAUUAAGAACAAGUAUACUUUGCCUCGCAUUAAUGAUUUAUUCGACCAGCUUCAGGGAGUGAGGGUGUUCUCCAAGAUUGAUCUCCGUUCAGGUUAUCACCAGUUGAAGAUCAGGGACUCGGAUAUUCUUAAGAUAACUUUGUGGACCCGAUAUGGUCAUUAUGAGUUCUUGGUGAUGUCUUUUGUGCUAACAAAUGCCCUAGCAACUUUCAUGCAUUUGAUAAACAGUGUGUUCCAGCCUUAUCUUGACUCGUUUGUCAUAGUUUUCAUUGAUGAUAUUCUGGUAUAUUCGCGUAGUUAGGAGGAGCACGCAGACAUUUGAGAGUUGUAUUACAGAUAUUGAGGGAGGAGAAGCUUUAUGAAAAAGUCUCCAACUGUGAGUUUUGGCUCAGUUCAGUGGCUUUCUUGGGGCAUGUGGUGUCCAGUGAGGUUAUUCAGGUUGAUCCGAAAAAGAUAAAGGAGGUACAGAAUUGGCCCAGACCGUCCUCAGCAAUAGAGAUUCGUAGCUUUCUUGGGUUGGUAGGAUAUUAUUGUCGGUUUGUUCAGGGAUUCUCAUCUAUCGCAUCGCCCUUGACCAAGUUGACUCAGAAGGGUGCUUCAUUUUUAUGGUCGGACGAGUGUGAGGAGAGCUUUUAAAAGCUCAAGACAUCUUUGACCAUAGCUCCAAUGUUGGUUUUGCCAUCACCUUCAGGUUCAUAUACUGUGAAUUGUGAUGCUUUGAGAGUUGGUAUUGGUUGUGUUUUGAUGUAUAAGGGUAGAUUUGUUGCUUAUGCUUCUCGUCAGUUGAAGCCCCAUGAGAAGAACUACCCCGUUCAUGAUUUAGAGUUGGCUUCCAUAGUUCACGCAUUGAAAAUUUGGAGGCAUUACUUGUAUGGUGUGUCUUGUGAGGUGUUUACUGAUCAUCGUAGUCUCCAGCAGUUUUUCAAGUAGAAGGAUCUUAAUUUGAGGCAGUAGAGAUGGAUGGAGUUACUUAAGGAUUAUGAUAUCACUAUAUUGUACCAUUCGGGAAAGGCCAAUGUGGUGGCCGAUGUUUUGAGCCGAAAGGCAGUGAGUAUGGGGUGUUUGGCAUAUAUUCCAAUUGGGUAGAGACCUCUUACAGUUGAUGUUCUGGCCUUGGCCAAUCGGUUCGUGAGAUUAGAUAUUUGGAACCCAGUCGGGUAUUGGCUUGUGUGGUUUCUCGGUCUUCCUUAUAUGAUCGCAUCAGAGAGCGCCAAUAUGAUGAUCCGCAUUUACUUGUCCUUAAGAACAGCGUUCAACAUGAUGAUGCCAGAGAUGUGACCAUUGGUGAUGAUGGGGUGUUGAGGAUUCAGGGCCGGAUUUAUGUGCCCAAUAUGGAUGGGAUUUAGGAGUUGAUUCUGGAUGAGGCCCAUAGCUCGCGGUAUUCCAUUCAUCCGGGUGCCGCAAAGAUAUAUCAGUAUUUGAGGCAACAAUAUUGGUGGAGAAGAAUGAAGAAAGACAUUGUGGGAUUUGUAGCUCGGUGUCUCAACUAUCAAUAGGUGAAAUAUGAGGAUCAAAGACCAGGUGAUUUACUUCAACAGAUGGAUAUUCUCGAGUGGAAGUGGGAGAGGAUCAAUAUGGACUUUAUUGUUGGACUUCCACGGACUUUGAGGAAGUUCGAUGCUAUUUGGGUGAUUGUGGAUAGGCUAACCAAGCUCGCGCACUUCAUUCUUGUAUGUACUACCUAUUCUUCAGAGCGGUUGGCAGAGAUCUAUAUCCGGGAGAUUUUUCAUUUGCACGAUGUCCCAGUUUCCAUCAUUUAAGAUAGGGGCACUCAGUUUACAUCGCAGUUUUGGAGGUCUGUGUAGCGAGAGUGGGGUACUCAGGUUGAGUUGAGCACGACUUUUCAUCCUCAUACGGACGGGCAGUCCGAGCGUACUAUUUAGAUAUUGGAGGACAUGUUGCGUACUUGUGUCAUUGAUUUCGGAGGGUCAUGGGAUCAGUUUCUACCGCUUGCAAAGUUUGCUUAUAACAACAGCUACCGGUCUAGUAUUCAGAUGGCUCCAUAUGAGGUUUUGUAUGGGAGGCGGUGUAGAUCUCUAGUUAGUUGGUUUGAGCCGGGCGAGGCUAGGCUAUUGGGGACAAACGUGGUGCAGGAUGCUUUGGAGAUGGUAAAGAUGAUUCAGGAGAGGCUUCGUACAACGCAAUCGAGGCAAAAGAUUUUUGUUGAUAGGAAGGUUCUAGAUGUGUCCUACAUGGUUGGCGAGAAGGUUCUGUUGAAGGUUUCACCCAUGAAGGGUGUUAUGAGAUUUGGGAAGAAAGGGAAACUGAGUACGCGGUUCAUUGGGCAUUUUGAGGUGCUUCGGAGGAUUAGGGAGGUGGCUUAUGAGUUUAUCUUGCCACCUAGAUUGUCGAGUGUGCAUCCAGUAUUCCCUAUUUCCAUGCUCCAGAAGUAUAUUGGGGAUCCAAUCUCAUGUUCUGGAUUUCAGCACGGUUCAGUUGGAUGAUGAUCUGACCUAUGAUGUGGAGCCAAUAGCUAUUUUGGGUCAUCAGGUUUGAAAGUUAAGGUCAAAGGAUAUAGCUUCAAUCAAAGUGCAGUGGAGAGGACGGCCCAUGGAGGAGGCUAUAUGCGAGACCGAGCGGGAGAUGCAGAGCAGAUACGCUCACAUGUUUGAGGCUUCAGGUAUGUUUCUUGACUCGUUCGAGGACAAACGUUUGUUUAAGUUGGGGAGGAUAUGACGACCCGGCCAGUCGUCUCAUGAGUUACUGCUCCAUUUCCCUCAUUUCUGAUUCUUUAUGCUUUGUUUAUCUGUUUUAUGGGAUAUCGGGUUGGUCAGAUCGAAUCCGGAAUGAUUUUUGUAAGGUUUGAGAUACUUAAUCUCUUUUAAGGAAGCUUAAGUUGGAAAAGUCAACCGAAUGCUGACUUAUGUGUUAAAGGUCUCGGAUGUGAGUUCCGGUGGUUCAGUUAGCUUCGGGAGGUGAUUUAUGGCUUAGGAGUGUGAUCGGAAUGAGUUUUGGAGGUUCGGAGUAGAUUUAGGCUUGAAUUGGCGAAGUUGAUAUUUUGGUGAUUUCCGGUUGGUAGGAGAGAUUUUAAUCUAGGGGUUGGAAUAGAAUUCUGAGAGUUGAAGUAGUUCCGUUGUGUCAUUUGGGAUGUGUGUGCAAAAUUUUAGGUCAUUCAGACGUGGUUUGGUUGGGUUUUCGAUCAAAAGCAGAAUUCGGAAGAUUUUAGAAAGUUUGGCUUGAAUCCAAGGUGUUUUGGAUGAUUCGAUGUUGUUUGAGAUGUUUUGAAGAUUGGUACAAGUUUGAAUAAGGUUUUGGGUUAUGCUGGUGCCUUUGGUUGAGGUCUCGGGGGCUUCGGGUGAGUUUUGGGUGGUCAAUCGGACCAUUUCGUGAAAUUUGGAGUUGCAAAGAUUGUAGGUUCAGCUGUUGUAGGGUUUUACUCUUCGCGUUCGCGAGUGGACCAUCGCGUUCGCGAAGAGUCAGUGGAAGUCAGUGGAAUUCUAGCCUUCUCAUUUGCGAGGGAGGCUCCGCGUUAGCGAAGGGAUGCUCGUGCAUCGAGUUCACGAAGGGUCUGAGGUCGAGUUUGUUCAUCGCAUUCACGAAGGGUAAGUUUGAGGAAGCAUCACGUUCGCUAUGGGGUGGCCGCGUUCACGAAGAAGCAAAUUAGGCCUGGGCAGAAGGUUUGAAAGGUCGUCUUGUCCGCAAAGGUUGGGUUUAUUUCUUCCAUUAUUGAUCGUUUUUGGAGCUUUUUGAAGGGGAUUGAAGAGGGAUUCAAGGGAAAUCACUUGGAGGUAAGAUUGUUGGACUUAAAACUCGAUUCUAAUGUGAAUUCCACCUAGUAAAUCAUGGAAAUUAAGCCAAAAAAUUGAAGAAUUAGGGCUUGGAAAUUUAGACUUUUGAUUGAGGAUUUGAAGGACCAUUUGAUGUCGGAUUUCAGAACUUUUGAUAUGUAUAAACUCGUGGGGAGAUAAGAAAUCUAUUGAUGUAAAAAUUAUCGAAGUCUGAGACGUGGGCCUGGGGUGGGGUUUUUGUAACUUCGGGAUUUGUGUCAUAUUUUGAUUGUUUUUGCUUGGGAUUCGUUCCUUUAGCAUAUUUUGACGUCCUCAUUCUAAUUUUGGAUAAAGUUGACGUGAGUAGAGGCCGAUUCGAGGGACAAAGGCAUCGUGAGCUAGAGAUUUGACCAGUUCGAAGUGAGCAAUGAUUGUAAAUGAUGUUUUGAUAGUUUAAAACCCCGGAUUGCACAUCGUAGUGCUAUAUUGAGGUGAGGCACACACUUGAUGGCGAGCGUGGGGUCAUGCACUAUAGGGGAUUGUGACUUGUUCCAUCCCGAUUGAUGAUUUUACCGCGUAUUCGACUGAAAUCUCUUUGCUAUCCUCAUGAUUUGGGCUGAAUGCCAUAUUUGGGCCUUGUGCCAACUAUUUGAACCCUUUGUGGAUUUCCUCACCGUUUUGACUUUUACUUCAACUCAAUCAUAUUAUAUUUCACUAUUUUCGUACUCAGACAUGUUUCCUUUGUUUUAACACUUACAUGAUCUUUUAAAUGAUAUUUUGGGCUGAGAUACAUGUUUUACUACUACCCAAGUGGUUUGUGAGGAUUUUUGACUGAGUAAGGCCGCUGGCCUAUGUUGGGAGGAAACAUUUGAUACUGAUUAUGAGGUGGAGGGCCGGAGAUAUGUACGCCAUGAGGUGGCUUGAUUGAUUAUGAGGUCUAGGGCCUAGUGAUGAUGCCACAAGGUGGCUUGAUAUUGCACUUUGGCCGUAAGAGGCCCUCCAGGAGUCUGUAUACCCCUAGUGAGCGCGGGUACCCAUUGUGAUGUGAGAUUUGAGCUCGAGGGGCUGGUAUUAUUCUAAGAUGUUGCCCGAGGGGCGGAUUUGUUGAUAUUGUGCCCGAGGGGAGAGCCUUUAUGUGUUUACUUUUCAUAAUUGACUGUCAAUUACCUGCUUAAUCAUUGAAAAAUACUUUUCGUGAAACUACAUUUGAGUUUUAGAAUUUUUACCUAUCUUUUCACUGGUUUACUGUUUUAAAUGGUUUUACUGCUUCAUUAUAUUAUGCUUUGUGCCUUACGUGUUUUCUCGCUUUCAGUCUUUAUUUACAUUUGUUACUCACUAAGUUGGAGUACUCAUUUUAUUCCCUACACCCUGUGUGCAGAUUCAAGCGUAGUUGGUUCCGCUCCCGAGUGCUGAUCCUUCCAGCUUCAGGCAGACAUUCGGAGUUCACGAGAUAGCUGCUUGGCGUCUGCAGACCCGUUUUUCUCCUUCUUUAUCACUUCUAUCUCUCUUCAGACAGUUGUACUAGUUUAUAGACUCAGAUUUGUAUCAAAGAAAUAACACUGAGAAAUAUAGAAACCAUGGAUAUAUGUAUCAACAGGUAUACAUCUCAG